AACGGAGAAAGAACGAUUGGAUGAUGAAGCAUUAGACACUAGAGCCUGAGAGGUGGCAAAGAGACUAUCGAGCCGUGGGGCUCCGAUACCAUGUAGAAUGCUUUGGAGUUGAAGGUUGUUGGUUUUAUUGAUAAAAUCACAUUUAUAUACAGACGCAUAGUGUGAGACUGUGAUGAGAUAAGGACAACCAGUUAGUUACAGAAGUGGAUGAGCCUUAU
rnacentral:misc_RNA from 1 species